UUGAUGGGUCCUAUUAAGGUUUGCCUAGUUUUUGUGAUUAUUCCUUGCCAACCUGGGUUUACCUUUCUGUUGGGUAGCUAUGCUUAGCUGCUAUACUUGGGUUAUGGUGGUUCUAAUGAACAAAGAUGAUGAACCUAUUUUAUUUAUGCUACACCUUCCUUUAAUACAAGAUCACUGUGAUUAAUUGGAACAUGGAGAACCACCCAGGAAAACAGUGCUACCACAAGACUAAAUGGCUCUGGUCUUGGCUGAAUAAUUAGAAAAUUUAGUCUGGGGUAAUCUUACUCGUGAUGAGGCAAGAGGGGGGACUGAGUCGUUGCAUUAUCGGCCUGUGAUAGGUUGUGCACACCAGACACCGAAACCUUAGCGGGUUACCACUGACUAAUGAAUCUUUGUAAAUGCCUCGUAGCGUCCCUACGCAAUCACACCUC
rnacentral:lncRNA from 1 species